GUGGACAGAUCAGCCUGGACUUUAAUCCUGUCCAAUCUAAGAGUGACGAACUUCCUGCUUACAUUAUCAUGCAUCCUACGUGUGAUCCAUUGUAAUUGGGGGAACUGUAGGAGAGAAAAGAUGACACAGAAACAGUCCGUGUACGGUGCCAGUACGGUUAAGAAAAAAACACAGUCGUCGUGACUGACCGAAAACAAACGGAGCCAUGACUGCUUCCACUGUUUACAUGCCUUCCGCGACCAAGGACAGGACGUGGGACCGGGAGAGCAGGAGAACAGCCUGAGUUGGUGCAGGUUUAGACUAUCUGGACUCGCGGGGCGAGCAGGGCCAGUUCGACUCCAGUGUCUUUGCUUUGAAGGUAAAUACAGUAAAUACAGAGCUCGCCUCGUCGUUUCAUCGAAUGGAAAAGUACUUUCAGCUCGCAGUUUAUCCCCCUGUACACCGACCUCUUCCGGCAGAGUCAGUACAGAAGGCUUAUAAACCUGCAGUUAAAGAGAAUUUAUGGGAUCACAAGUUUCAUCUGAUGAGAUGAGUGUGCGUGCGGGGCAGGGCAGUGACGAGGUGUUGGUGUCUCAGGCUGUGUGGGAUUAUCUCGCAGCGGCUGGGCGACCCUGGCUGCUCGACUUUGAGGAUAAGCAGGGUCUAAGUGCUGGCAUCAUCCGGCGUGGGGAGCGCGGUGGCUGCUGCGCGGUGCGGCUCUCUCCAGUGGAGGGCAGCAGCAGGGCCAGGACCGGCAUGAUGGAGGGCCCAGUGUCCCCUGCCACACGGAAAGCCUUUAUAGACCUAUGCCGUUGUGCCCGCAAGGAAAUGACCAAACAGGAGGCUGCUCCCAAGAGAAAGCGCUCUCUGUUACCCUGCGUUGGGGUGAUGGAAGUGGACGGGGAGGGCAGUUUACUUCCUCCUCCUCCGCCACAGCCACGUCGUUCUCAGAGGCAACAGCAGCAGAGGUACAGGAGAAGUGCUGAUAUGGAGACCAGUGUGGUUCUGCCCAUGCAGCAUGAGGCCACCACAAGGACUGAAGCUGAGCUGAAUGUAGGCCAGCCAAGUGAAGAGGAUGGUGCCAGCUGCUCCAUCUGCAUGGACGAGAUAGUGGAGAAGACUACUCUAGAGAAGUGUGGCCAUUCCUUCUGCCGUUCUUGCUUGGAUCAAGCUUUCCAGGUGAAGAAGGCUUGUCCUGUCUGCAGGCUGGUUUAUGGUCAGCUCAUUGGGAACCAGCCAGCCAACGGUAGCAUGAUGGUGGAGAGAGACCCAGACCUGGAGCUGCCUGGGCAUGAAGGAUAUGGCUGCAUAUGCAUUAUCUAUAGCUUCCCUCCAGGGUUCCAGUCACAAGAGCACCCAAACCCUGGAGUGCGGUACCCAGGCACAGACCGUGUAGCGUAUCUACCGGACAGUCCUGAGGGAAACCGUGUGCUGCGCCUGCUGCGGCGGGCUUUUGAACAACGGCUCAUCUUCACUAUAGGAACCUCCAUGACUACAGGCAUGCAUAACGUCAUCACCUGGAAUGAUAUCCACCAUAAGACCUCUAUAUGGGGUGGACCACGAUGCUUUGGCUACCCAGAUCCUACAUACCUCGUGCGGGUGACUGAGGAGCUGCGGGAAAAGGGAAUAACAGACGACUGAUUCUUUGAUACGCAGGACGUUGGGCUUACUAUGGGACUGGCAAAUGGGCUGACUUGACCACAGACUCUCCACAGGUUUACUGUGACAACGCAAGUCACAGCCAUGUUCUGCAGCAAUGGUUUAGACAAGAAGAUUCUUUGUGCACCAAGUUUGUUUUGUUUCUUUUUUGUUUAAACUUGCUCUUGGAGUGAUGCGUUAUAAAUCACAGACGCAUCUAACAUUUGUGGUGGGUCCCCUGGAGCAGUACUGGGAAACACUGCUUUAGGGAAUCAGAAGCGGUUCUUCUUUGGACGGAGUGGGGAACUGAGAGCCUGAGUCCAGCACUGUUUCGUGAUUUCUCUGCUCUGAUGCAACAACUAAGCCUAGAGGUGUGUUUGAACAGGAAAAUUGCCAAACUGUGUAGGAAUCCAGCCUCCAAUUUCUUUUUUUUCGAUGGAAUCACUCCAACGAACUCUUUUUGGGACCUUUACUUUAAGGAAUGUAAUGAACAAAUGACCUCCCACAGCUUUACUGAUACUCCUGGGACAAUCCCACUCAAGCAGGUUUUUGCUUGUUUGUUUUCUUUAAGCAGCACUAUAAGGCACUUUGCAGUGAUGGAAGUGAGUUACUAAUGGAGAUCUUUGCGAUCGUAAGGAAUCUAACAGCUACUACAGUCUGAUGUCAAUCCCUCUGAGCUUUUUAUCUUCUUAUAAACUUCCCCUUUGUCUGAUCAAGUGAAAAGGGUAGUCUUGCAUUUCAGGACUAUGGAGAAAAAAGGCCUUGUUUUUGUGUUUGGCCAAUUGAUUAUCUGUAAUUCGUGUUCUGUUAAUGUUCAGAACCUCCCUAUAAGGAAUCGCUGCUGCUAUCAGGUCAGCGCUGAAUUCUGGGGCAGGAGAAAAUGUCAAGUGAAGAUCUCCUGCCCCGACUGAAAUGUUCAGAAGGUUUCUUUAGCAUGUUUACAUUUAGAAGAUUUCUAUUAAUUGUCUAUUAGUAAAUGCAGUAUUGCUGCAGUUGCUGAUUGGGGCUUUAAUGUUCAAAGUUGAUCAGAUUUAUAAGAUGAUGUCAUUAUAAAAGGUCCUGCUGACCACCCUGAGCAAAACAAAAGGCACAAUCAUUCCACAGUGUAACUAUCAUACCUUAACCUCAAAGCCAGAGAAUGCUAAUGAUUUAUUUCCACGAUGGUAGGCUAGCUUCGUUUAUAGCACACAAAACAAUGUUCAGUGUUUUUCAAUGUUCAAGUGAAUAUCUGAAGUAUAUGCAGCAGUUUAUGAUUGGGGGAAAAUAUGCAGUAAUGUUUUUACAUCAUUCGAAGUGUUGAUGUACUUUCAACUAAAUUCACGGCAUGAUAAAACUAACGAUAACCAUUUCUACAUAGUAGGUGUUCAUGGGUUAAAAAUCGGAAGCCUUUGUUUGUUCAGGUGUUCUGUCUCUAAGUAGAGACGUGCCUCACAAUAGUGUACUUGCUCUAGAAUUCGGUUCACAGAUGACUGAAGGCAUAAAAAAUCUUAGUUUCAACUAUGCCACAAAUAUCAGGUUUCAGAUCAGAUUCAUUUCAGACUCAUCAGAAAGAAAGAAGUGUAGAAUAUCUGUAAAGCUGGUAAACAUUUCCUUUGUUCGCCCCUCUUUCUUUUUGUUUUACGGGACCAAUUCAGAGGUACCUUUGAAUGAUGUAUAGGUGUACCUAUCAUGCAAAAUUCUAUGCAGUUCAAGUUAGAUGGGAAGAAAAUAGACCUCUUCAGAUAAUUGAUUGUUAAUCAAGUUAAUGAUUUGCCUUUAUGAUUGUGUUGAUUUGUACAUGACAAAACUGUCUGCUACAAUUUAAAAUGUGUGCUUUACAUUUUCAUACUUGAAUAAAGAGUUCUGUUCAGUU